GAGUUUGAUCCUGGCUCAGAAUCAACGCUGGCGGCGCGCCUAACACAUGCAAGUCGAACGAGAAAGCGGGGGCAACUCCGCAAGUACAGUGGCGUACGGGUGAGUAACACGUGGACAAUCUACCUCUUAGUGGGGGAGUAACCCUGGGAAACCGGGGCUAAUACCGCAUAAGCUCUUGCGAGGAAAGCAGCAAUGCGCUGAGAGAGGAGUCCGCGGCCGAUUAGCUAGUUGGUGAGGUAACGGCUCACCAAGGCAAAGAUCGGUAGCCGGCCUGAGAGGGCACACGGCCACACUGGCACUGAAACACGGGCCAGACUCCUACGGGAGGCAGCAGUGGGGAAUCUUGCACAAUGGGGGAAACCCUGAUGCAGCGACGCCGCGUGAGCGAUGAAGCCCUUCGGGGUGUAAAGCUCUUUCGGCAGGGAAGAUUAUGACGGUACCUGCAGAAGCAGCUGCGGCUAACUACGUGCCAGCCGCCGCCGUAAC
rnacentral:rRNA from 1 species